rnacentral:lncRNA from 1 species
AUGCAAUUCACCGCCAGUAUCAUUUUUAUUACACAGAACACAAAGUUGAUUGAUUGAUUGUUGGUUGCUUAACGUCCAGUGGCAAAUAUUUCAUGCAUAUUCAGGACGAGAACAAGUUAACAAUAAAUACAAUAAGUAGGUUGUUAUAAUAGAGGACGAUGGUCGGGGAAAUUUGGACUGCCACUGGAAAAUGAGGGUGUAUUGGAUAGAGACCGAAAUUUUGCCCUGCAACAGGCCACCUACGGACCCCUCGAAGAGUUGUUGCAAGGGUUCUUAACGUGCAAAGAGCGUGGCACUCUCUUUACACGAGACAUCGGAUUUAACGUCCCCCUUCUGACCGGACGUGACUGCGAACUUGAUACGUCCCGCACAGCCAAACGGACGCCCCACUUCGGAAAGCGUUUUACUGCCGGUCGGGAGAAGACCAAGUGACCAUAUUUCUAUACCCUAGUCACCCUUGGGGGCUAGGACACAAAGUCUUUUGUUUGUAACUAUAUUAUUCUAUCUAGCCAGUUCAAUAGGGAGCUUGUUAUUUGCGGUUCUAAAUCUAUAAAAAUCAAUGCUAAGAAUUCCAAUAAAAGUUUGUAAUUAAGUGUUCUUUGUGAGUUUUCUAGUAAAGAAUGCCGGACUUGUACAAACUGAUCCUUAAGUUUGAAAUUGAUGAAUGAAACUUACAUUGAUAAACGAUUGCGUUUCUCACACAUGCAUGACAUAUACAUGUAUUUACAUAUAGGCUUGCAACAUAAUGAGAUUCAGGCAAAACAUUAAAACAAUGCCGGAAUAGUGUCAUUUCGGAUCUUGUGCUUGUAAUUACUAUCUAAAUAUGACUCAUUGCUUUUCCCAAUA